rfam:Fukomys damarensis contig116419, whole genome shotgun sequence.
GGAUGUGAGAAAGAUCUGGCUGCAACAUUUGUCACCCCAAUGAUCGCCAGGGUUGAUUCAGCUGACCUGGCUGGCUAGGUGGUGUCCCCUUCCUCCCUCAUCAUUCCAUGUGUGUCCUUCCUGUGUGCUCAGUGGAAGAGGACGACCACCUCUGACAGAGGAGGACCAUUCGCUCAGUCAAGUUAUAUGAGUAGCUGCACUCCCCUGCUAGAACCUACAAACAAACUCUCAGGAGCUUGUAUUAAUUUAUAUUACCUCCAUAAUGUAUAUAUUGAGGCUACUUUUUCAUAGUUGUGUGAAAUUGAAUAAGCAAUCCU